ACCCAUUCAAGUUUAAACAUUCAACAAUGUCUCAUUGAACAGGAGAAAAGUGUUUCCUCUCUUGCAAAUGUCUUUGCACAAAUGUAAUGGAGCUUUUUGCACAUCUUUGAGUUUAACAGCGUGGCUGUGCUGUAGGUGUUAUUUCUGGUAGUUCCAACAGUUUUCAGACAAACUUUGCAGUUCGUGUUCUUUUGCUCAACAUCUAUGGCGUAAUUUUGGUGCUACCCAACUGAGAGUGCAGUGAGAAAAAUGUGCAUCGUUUAAACCUGCACACCUUCACUUAAAACCGAUCUGCCACACGCUCAACUCUGACAAUGCGCUCUACACUUUUUCUCUGUGCACUCAGCUUCAUCUCUGCUCUCGCUCAGCUCCACGGGAUUAACUGAUGUAAUUUGGUUUGCAGCUGUUAGACGCUUCUUCGAUGGGCUCAUCCACCUUUCUACGCUUCUGACUGGAUGGGUGGAGUCACUUGAUUCCCCCCAUGCUGCAGAGUCUCAAAGGGGAAGGAAACACCAGCCACUAGUGCACACAGACAAAAUGGCAGAAUUAUUUACAGACUUGUAUGCCGAAUUUACUGACAUGCGAAAAUUUGCCCUGGUUACCGUAAUGAACGAUGGUAACAGUAAAAAUCAGGUUUAUCGCCCAGCCCUAGUCUAACCCCUCCCUGGCAGCUCUGUGGCCCCUGUCUCCCCGCAGCUGGGCGUCUGGUGACGCCUUCAUACUGGGUUAGCAUUGAUGAUGUCACCAAUGCGGAAGUAAUCAGGAAAGUAAACAAUGGAGAGCAAGCAUUAAUGGAAGCCAGGUCGUAGUCGAUGUGCUUUUAUCUGUCUGAAUCCCUCUCACCAGAGCUGCUCCAUGUUUAUAGAAUGUAAACAGAGUAGUUUCUGCUUGAUAGAUUAGAAGUGACUGGCGUGGUUAGUUCAAUGGUAUCAUCUUUUUUUAAUUCACUACCAACUGAGCUUGUUUCACCGCCGCGAUGUUUGCUGCUCUGCUCUGCUGAAAGCCGGGUAGUCAUGUGGCUUUACCUGUAGCUGCGCACACUGUCUACACAGUGUUAUAAAAUCGCAGUCUUUCCUGCGAUUACACAGCAUCGAAAUUACGAUUGCAUUAAUCCUGCAGCACUACUAUAUGUUUAAAUCCAUUUCAACUGGAUAAGGUUUAAAAUGCAAGAAAAUAUCAAAAUAAUAAAAUUAUCACAGUUCUUUUAUAAAGAGGUAUCUAAUGUGUGUUUGCAUGUAUUAUGUUAUAUAUUCUUUAUUUUGUUACUAUUGUUUGUGAUGUUCUUCCCUUUGCUGUUGGACCAUAAAGAUUUGCCACUAAAGGGUCUGAACUUAGCUUUGUGUUCUCACAGUGAAUAAUAUGUAGAUACAUGAUCAGAAUAAAUAAUAACUUCUGG